UUUAAGCCCAGUAGUGAAUAUGCUUACAAUAACUUGGCUGAUAAGGCAUUGAAACAACAGCAAUAUGCUUAGGAUGGAUGUAUAACGUUGGUGAAACUUUGUUACUAAUUUUUUUAAUAUGUUAACAGGAAGAAAUGAGAUUUUGUUUCUUUGAACUGCAAAUAUAUCAGCCUAUAUCCAUGAAAGCAAUAUACAAAUUGUAUGCCUAUUAAAUCAUAAGGCCACUGACAAAGACUCUUGUUGAAAUGCAUUUGGCUGUAUUUUGUAUUUCAUCUUGUAUGGGCAUUAGUUUAUUACAGUCUGUAGAAUUGUAUUUGUGAUUUUAUGCUGUUUUUACAAUACAUGUGUAUUAAUUUUUUCCCACUUCAUUUUAUGUCUUAUAUGUCCACCUUAAUUCUAUUCUGAGCAUUGUGUUUUUGUUUAGAUUGAUUCAAACUUUUCAGUUCCUGUCAUGUAAAGUUACACCAUAGUUUAGUUAUUUCUGAAUGAGCCCUUUCUCUCUCACAUACAGAAAUAUUCAUUUUCAUCAAAUUAUUAACAGAAUUAAUUUAUCCUCCUUUUGCUUCCCCUCCCCCUUCUUGGUCAAUUUUUGGUUUGUUUAAAAUUAAGAUCUCUGAAUGAUUUGUAUCAGAUUUUUGACUAUCUCAAAAAUAGCAUCAGUUCUCAUUCCUAAGAGUAGUUGACUAGAGGAUUGCUCUACCCAAAGCUGAUUCUGUCAAAAAUAAGAGAAUCUAAUUUCAUUUCACAUGGGCAAUGUGUAUUAAUCUGUUCAGCGGUGUAUAUAAGCAUAAUUGAGAGGGGCUUACUUCUAUAUUGGACCUUAAGUAGACCCAUAGCCAAAAAUUCUGUGGUGAGGAGGCCUAAGGGACUAGUAACAGAGCUGCCAGAAUAUAAAUACAGGUAGCCUAAUAUGUUUUAAGUUACUUAAUUGUAUUACAUGUUACUAAAAUAAAUUUAACAUUUAGUUUAACAAUGUUUAAAAUAAAGGUCUAAUCAGUUAUUCCUGUGCUCUUUCACUCAUUGACCAGAAUACUGGAGGACAGGAGAAAGUUUACUUAUUAG